CCUACGGGUGGCUGCAGUGGGGAAUAUUGGACAAUGGGGGGAACCCUGAUCCAGCCAUGCCGCGUGUGUGAAGAAGGCCCUCGGGUUGUAAAGCACUUUCAGUGAGGAAGAACGCCUGGUGGUUAAUACCCAUCAGGAAAGACAUCACUCACAGAAGAAGCACCGGCUAACUCCGUGCCAGCAGCCGCGGUAAUACGGAGGGUGCGAGCGUUAAUCGGAAUUACUGGGCGUAAAGCGCGCGUAGGUGGCUUGAUAAGCCGGUUGUGAAAGCCCCGGGCUCAACCUGGGAACGGCAUCCGGAACUGUCAAGCUAGAGUGCAGGAGAGGAAGGUAGAAUUCCCGGUGUAGCGGUGAAAUGCGUAGAGAUCGGGAGGAAUACCAGUGGCGAAGGCGGCCUUCUGGACUGACACUGACACUGAGGUGCGAAAGCGUGGGUAGCAAACAGGAUUAGAUACCCCCGGUAGUC
rnacentral:rRNA from 1 species